rnacentral:rRNA from 1 species
UUAUCUCUGUAGAGUCUGCAUAUCAAUAAGCGGAGGAAAAGAAACUAACAAGGAUUCCCUUAGUAACGGCGAGUGAAGCGGGAAGAGCUCAAAUUUGAAAUCUUCAAGGUUCUACCUUGACGAAUUGUAGUUUAUAGAAGUGUUUUCUGUUAGUAGAGUGGCAAAAGUUCUUUGGAAUAGGACAUCAUAGAGGGUGAGAAUCCCGUAUUUGGUCAUUCUUUCUAGCUUUGUGAUACACUUUCAACGAGUCGGAUUGUUUGGGAAUGCAGUCCAAAAUGGGUGGUAAAUUUCAUCUAAAGCUAAAUAUUGGCGAGAGACCGAUAGCGAGCAAGUACCGUGAGGGAAAGAUGAAAAGAACUUUGAAAAGAGAGUUAAACAGUACGUGAAAUUGUCAAAAGGGAAGCGUUUGACACCAGUGUUGUUUUUCCGAAAAUCAAUUACGAAUGUUUUGUUUUUGAGAAGUUAUGACUUCAUCGGCUUGCUUCUUUCUUUACGAAACUUUCUUAAUGCACCUUUCGGUUAACAAGUCAACAUCAAUUUCUUUUGUUGUAAAAGGGUACGAGGAAGGUGGCUUUCUUUUCGGAGAAAGUGUUUAUAGCCUUGUGCCUCUGCAAUCGGAGAGAUUGAGGUCUGCAGCGUAGAUCCUUCGGGGUUAGAUACAUUUGUGCUAAGUUAUAGCUUUUCAUAGACAACUUGUUGACUAUAGUUUAGUCUUGUAGCUUACUCGCUUAUGCUAUUUUACCUACGCUUAGGAUGUUGAUGUGAUACUGCGAGCA